CGGACGGGUGAGUAACGCGUGGGUAACCUGCCCUGUACAGGGGGAUAACAGUUGGAAACGGCUGCUAAAACCGCAUAACAUGGAGAUACCGCAUGAUAUUUCCAUCAAAUAUUUAUAGGUACAGGAUGGGCCCGCGUCUGAUUAGCCAGUUGGCAGGGUAAUGGCCUACCAAAGCGACGAUCAGUAGCCGGCUUGAGAGAGUGACCGGCCACAUUGGGACUGAGACACGGCCCAAACUCCUACGGGAGGCAGCAG
rnacentral:rRNA from 1 species